rnacentral:lncRNA from 1 species
UGUUCACCCACUCAGCAAUUAUUUAACAAACAUUUAUUGUGCCCAAGACUUUUGUGGGCUCUCUGCCAGGAAAGGGCAGGUCAUUGAAUGGGCCCUGGGAAAAAUGAUGUCUGAGCUUCUCUCCAGUUCUCAGAGAAAGGCUGGAGAGAGACCCUUCACCCCUUCCAUCGUGAGGAUACAGCAAGAAGGCACCGUCUAUAAACCAGAAAGUGGGCCCUCAAUAGACACUGAAUCUGCCGGUGCUUUGAUCUAGGACUUCC